GAGUACAGCUGAAGGAGCCGGGGAGCAGAAAGUAUAUGCGUCAGGGGGCUUCCAAGGCAGUCGGGCAGCAUCAGUCUUCAGCCGCUAAGCCAAGAAGAUCUGGGAAGCAGUCAGAGAGCCUUGGGCCAGAGUUCCAGGGGCUCUGGGAGUGGCUGCCAGUGGUCUCAAAUAGUCAAGACCCCCUGCUGGGAGGAGCUUCUAUCCUGCUCUGUGGAA
rnacentral:lncRNA from 10 species